UACGUAGGGUGCAAGCGUUAAUCGGAAUUACUGGGCGUAAAGCGUGCGCAGGCGGUUUUGUAAGACAGAUGUGAAAUCCCGGGCUCAACCUGGGAACUGCAUUUGUGACUGCACAGCUGGAGUGCGGCAGAGGGGGAUGGAAUUCCGCGUGUAGCAGUGAAAUGCGUAGAUAUGCGGAGGAACACCGAUGGCGAAGGCAAUCCCCUGGGCCUGCACUGACGCUCAUGCACGAAAGCGUGGGGAGCAAACAGG
rnacentral:rRNA from 1 species